rnacentral:rRNA from 1 species
GGUUAAGCGACUAAGCGUACACGGUGGAUGCCCUGGCAGUCAGAGGCGAUGAAGGACGUGCUAAUCUGCGAUAAGCGUCGGUAAGGUGAUAUGAACCGUUAUAACCGGCGAUUUCCGAAUGGGGAAACCCAGUGUGAUUCGUCACACUAUCAUUAACUGAAUCCAUAGGUUAAUGAGGCGAACCGGGGGAACUGAAACAUCUAAGUACCCCGAGGAAAAGAAAUCAACCGAGAUUCCCCAGUAGCGGCGAGCGAACGGGGAGCAGCCCAGAGCCUGAAUCAGUGUGUGUGUUAGUGGAAGCGUCUGGAAAGGCGUGCGAUACAGGGUGACAGCCCCGUACACAAAAAUGCACAUACUGUGAGCUCGAUGAGUAGGGCGGGACACGUGGUAUCCUGUCUGAAUAUGGGGGACCAUCCUCCAAGGCUAAAUACUCCUGACUGACCGAUAGUGAACCAGUACCGUGAGGGAAAGGCGAAAAGAACCCCGGCGAGGGGAGUGAAAAAGAACCUGAAACCGUGUACGUACAAGCAGUGGGAGCACGCUUAGGCGUGUGACUGCGUACCUUUUGUAUAAUGGGUCAGCGACUUAUAUUCUGUAGCAAGGUUAACCGAAUAGGGGAGCCGAAGGGAAACCGAGUCUUAACUGGGCGUUAAGUUGCAGGGUAUAGACCCGAAACCCGGUGAUCUAGCCAUGGGCAGGUUGAAGGUUGGGUAACACUAACUGGAGGACCGAACCGACUAAUGUUGAAAAAUUAGCGGAUGACUUGUGGCUGGGGGUGAAAGGCCAAUCAAACCGGGAGAUAGCUGGUUCUCCCCGAAAGCUAUUUAGGUAGCGCCUCGUGAAUUCAUCUCCGGGGGUAGAGCACUGUUUCGGCAAGGGGGUCAUCCCGACUUACCAACCCGAUGCAAACUGCGAAUACCGGAGAAUGUUAUCACGGGAGACACACGGCGGGUGCUAACGUCCGUCGUGAAGAGGGAAACAACCCAGACCGCCAGCUAAGGUCCCAAAGUCAUGGUUAAGUGGGAAACGAUGUGGGAAGGCCCAGACAGCCAGGAUGUUGGCUUAGAAGCAGCCAUCAUUUAAAGAAAGCGUAAUAGCUCACUGGUCGAGUCGGCCUGCGCGGAAGAUGUAACGGGGCUAAACCAUGCACCGAAGCUGCGGCAGCGACGCUUAUGCGUUGUUGGGUAGGGGAGCGUUCUGUAAGCCUGUGAAGGUGUGCUGUGAGGUAUGCUGGAGGUAUCAGAAGUGCGAAUGCUGACAUAAGUAACGAUAAAGCGGGUGAAAAGCCCGCUCGCCGGAAGACCAAGGGUUCCUGUCCAACGUUAAUCGGGGCAGGGUGAGUCGACCCCUAAGGCGAGGCCGAAAGGCGUAGUCGAUGGGAAACAGGUUAAUAUUCCUGUACUUGGUGUUACUGCGAAGGGGGGACGGAGAAGGCUAUGUUGGCCGGGCGACGGUUGUCCCGGUUUAAGCGUGUAGGCUGGUUUUCCAGGCAAAUCCGGAAAAUCAAGGCCGAGGCGUGAUGACGAGGCACUACGGUGCUGAAGCAACAAAUGCCCUGCUUCCAGGAAAAGCCUCUAAGCAUCAGGUAACAUCAAAUCGUACCCCAAACCGACACAGGUGGUCAGGUAGAGAAUACCAAGGCGCUUGAGAGAACUCGGGUGAAGGAACUAGGCAAAAUGGUGCCGUAACUUCGGGAGAAGGCACGCUGAUACGUAGGUGAAGCGACUUGCUCGUGGAGCUGAAAUCAGUCGAAGAUACCAGCUGGCUGCAACUGUUUAUUAAAAACACAGCACUGUGCAAACACGAAAGUGGACGUAUACGGUGUGACGCCUGCCCGGUGCCGGAAGGUUAAUUGAUGGGGUUAGCGCAAGCGAAGCUCUUGAUCGAAGCCCCGGUAAACGGCGGCCGUAACUAUAACGGUCCUAAGGUAGCGAAAUUCCUUGUCGGGUAAGUUCCGACCUGCACGAAUGGCGUAAUGAUGGCCAGGCUGUCUCCACCCGAGACUCAGUGAAAUUGAACUCGCUGUGAAGAUGCAGUGUACCCGCGGCAAGACGGAAAGACCCCGUGAACCUUUACUAUAGCUUGACACUGAACAUUGAGCCUUGAUGUGUAGGAUAGGUGGGAGGCUUUGAAGUGUGGACGCCAGUCUGCAUGGAGCCGACCUUGAAAUACCACCCUUUAAUGUUUGAUGUUCUAACGUGGACCCGUGAUCCGGGUUGCGGACAGUGUCUGGUGGGUAGUUUGACUGGGGCGGUCUCCUCCUAAAGAGUAACGGAGGAGCACGAAGGUUGGCUAAUCCUGGUCGGACAUCAGGAGGUUAGUGCAAUGGCAUAAGCCAGCUUGACUGCGAGCGUGACGGCGCGAGCAGGUGCGAAAGCAGGUCAUAGUGAUCCGGUGGUUCUGAAUGGAAGGGCCAUCGCUCAACGGAUAAAAGGUACUCCGGGGAUAACAGGCUGAUACCGCCCAAGAGUUCAUAUCGACGGCGGUGUUUGGCACCUCGAUGUCGGCUCAUCACAUCCUGGGGCUGAAGUAGGUCCCAAGGGUAUGGCUGUUCGCCAUUUAAAGUGGUACGCGAGCUGGGUUUAGAACGUCGUGAGACAGUUCGGUCCCUAUCUGCCGUGGGCGCUGGAGAACUGAGGGGGCUGCUCCUAGUACGAGAGGACCGGAGUGGACGCAUCACUGGUGUUCGGGUUGUCAUGCCAAUGGCACUGCCCGGUAGCUAAAUGCGGAAGAGAUAAGUGCUGAAAGCAUCUAAGCACGAAACUUGCCCCGAGAUGAGUUCUCCCUGACCCUUUAAGGGUCCUGAAGGAACGUUGAAGACGACGACGUUGAUAGGCCGGGUGUGUAAGCGCAGCGAUGCGUUGAGCUAACCGGUACUAAUGAACCGUGAGGCUUAACCUU